GAUGAACGCUGGCGGCGUGCCUAAUACAUGCAAGUCGAGCGAAUGGAUUAAGAGCUUGCUCUUAUGAAGUUAGCGGCGGACGGGUGAGUAACACGUGGGUAACCUGCCCAUAAGACUGGGAUAACUCCGGGAAACCGGGGCUAAUACCGGAUAACAUUUUGAACCGCAUGGUUCGAAAUUGAAAGGCGGCUUCGGCUGUCACUUAUGGAUGGACCCGCGUCGAAUUAGCUAGUUGGUGAGGUAACGGCUAACCAAGGCAACGAUGCGUAGCCGACCUGAGAGGGUGAUCGGCCACACUGGGACUGAGACACGGCCCAGACUCCUACGGGAGGCAGCAGUAGGGAAUCUUCCGCAAUGGACGAAAGUCUGACGGAGCAACGCCGCGUGAGUGAUGAAGGCUUUCGGGUCGUAAAACUCUGUUGUUAGGGAAGAACAAGUGCUAGUUGAAUAAGCUGGCACCUUGUCGGUACCUAACCAGAAAGCCACGGCUAACUACGUGCCAGCAGCCGCCGUAA
rnacentral:rRNA from 1 species